UUGGACCUGAUAUCAGGCAAGAUUACCCGCUGAACUUAG
rnacentral:rRNA from 1 species